AGAUUUUACUAAUUUAAAUGAAUGUGUAAUUCAAUGUUUGUUUCUCCAUUAUAGUACAAGUAAGUGAUCAAUCAAUGUUUAAAAGCUGCAUUGUUUCAUGAAAAUUAAUAAUAUCUAAGGCUAUGAACAGGAAACUCAGUAGAAGAAUCUUUGCAAGGGAAACAACUGCGGGAGCUCUGUCUAGUCAUCCGUGAUAAUGAAUUAGAGUUAUCUGCCUUUCACCCUUCCACUACUGUUCUUUGUAGCACGUGUCAUAAUCUGUUUUGAUAGGUCUCUUGUUCAGUGAUACAAACAGACAUUCUUGGUGGAUCUCCUGUAUAAAUCCCCCUCCCCCAUUUUUCAUGUGGAGAUGUAUUCAAAUGUUAAGUGUAAUUUUGUCAUUUAUUUUUUAUAGUCUAUGUAAAACCAUUUUAUUUGUAUGUGUAGUCUUCAUAAUGUUUUACUAUUACAUUUACAUGUCAUUUCAGUAAGAUUAUAAAACCAAUGUUCCAUUGAACAAAAAUGUGAAGAUCUGAUUUCAAUUUCCCCAUUGAAAUAUCAAAGAUGUAAUUGUUAAAAAACUGUAAUAUAUUUAUGUAUGAAUAUGAUUUAAUGUUGAACUACAUCAAAGGAACACUCAGCUCUAAAGAAGCUGACUUGCGAUUGAUUUUGACGACUGAUUUUGUGUUACAAUUGUGACAGUAGUGUUUUUGGUGUCAACUGAAAGAUCAUGUGAAAACCUGGGACACUCUGCCUGUCUCCAGAUAAAGAUUUGUCAAUUUGUAGACUGCUUAAAGGCUUUUCCUGCUGAAUCCUAUCUAUCUCUGCAAUAAUUUUGUAAUGUUUUUAUUUAAUUUGUACAUGAAUAAAUUGUAUAACAAGU
rnacentral:misc_RNA from 1 species